rnacentral:tRNA from 1 species
UCCCUGGUGGCUCAGUUGGUAAAGAAUCUACCUGCAAUGCAGGAGACCCAGGUUUGAUCCCUGGUUUGGGAA